rnacentral:rRNA from 1 species
GCGGCGAGCGAACCGGGAUUAGCCCAACAUCGAAUCCUGGUACCUUCACGGUAUUGGGAGUUGUGAUGUAUAGGAUGGUAUCUUUGAUAGUAGAGUUGACUUGAAAUUCGCUUGAAUGCGAUCUAUCCGUAGAGGGUGCCAGACCCGUUCAGGUUGACAAAGCUGUUAUUGAUGCUGUCUCAUGAGUAGGAUUGUUUGGGAAUGCAGUCCGAAUUGGGAGGUAGAUUCCUUCUAAGGCUAAAUACUUGUCUGAGUCCGAUAGAAAACAAGUACCGUGAGGGAAAGUUGAAAAGAACUUUGAAGAGAGAGUUAAAUAGCACGUGAAAUCGCUUAGAGGAAAACGAGUAGAGCCGAAGGUUGGUGUAUGGAAUUCAGGUAUUUGAGUGUUGCGAUUGUUGAAGUAAAUCUGUAAAGUUUGCUUUAAUGAUUUGUUGGCAUUUGAGUUCUGCACUUUCUAUACAUCAAAUAUGCGACCAGUACUUAGUUUCUCUGUCGUAGAAAUGAAGCUAACUUUGCCUUCGGGUAAAGUUUUAUAGCUUUCUGCACGGUUGAAUUUUGCACUGGUGACAGAAUCUAGUUAUGUUGGUGUAGCUGUUAUAUGGUUGUUAUUGCUGUAAGCUCUUAGAGAUUGCGGUGGUAGUAGCUGUGUGAUAGUUGCUUAACUGAUUAGAGCAUAGUCAGCAUUGUAUAUGUAGGCAAUCUACUUGUCCCGUCUUGAAACACGGACCAAGGAGUUUUUUAUACUUGCAAGUCAAUGGGCCUUACGAAACCCCACGGCGAAAAGAAAUUAAAGUAUAUCUUCGGAUAUAUGAGAAACGAUGCUGGUGGUCCCCCACUCAGCCGCAGUUUCAUCCUCCUCAAAGGUGUUCGCAUCUGGGGAGAGAUAGAGCAAGUAUGAAGAGACCCGAAAGAUGGUGAACUUUGGUUGUGCAGGUUGAAGCCAGAGGAAACUCUGGUGGAAGACCGAAGCAGUUCUGACGUGCAAAUCGAUUGUCAGACAUGACCAAAGGGGCGAAAGACUAAUCGAACCAUCUAGUAGCUGGUUCCCUCCGAAGUUUCCCUCAGGAUAGCUGGCAUUGAUUUAGUUGUAUCCGGUAAAGCGAAUGAUUAGAAGUGCCGGGGAAGCAAUUUCCUCGACUUAUUCUCAAACUUUAAAUGGGUAUGAUGUAUUGCUUUCUUCAUUGAAGUAAUACGAUUAAUAGCAAUGCUUAGUGGGCCAUUUUUGGUAAGCAGAACUGGCGAUGUGGGAUGAACCAAACAUCUAGUUAAGGUGCCUAAUUUAUGCUCAUGAGAUACCACAAAAGGUGUUGGUUGAUAAAGACAGCAGGACGGUGGACAUGGAAGUUGUCAUCCGCUAAGGAGUGUGUAACAACUCACCUGCCGAAUCAACCAGCCCUGAAAAUGGAUGGCGCUGUAGCAUAAAACCUAUACUAGAUCGGCAUGGUAAGCAAAUUGCGAGUAAGCCAUGUCGUGUAGGAGGGUGCUGUAAUAGCAUCGAARCCUUCAGCGUGAGCUGGGGUGGAGCUGUUACGGGUACAGAUCUUGGUAGUAGUAGCAAUUAUUCAAAGUGAGAUCCUUGAAGACUGAAGUGGAAAAAGGG